CCGCAGCGAGUGCCGGGGGUUGGAUGCGGGUCUGUCCAGCCGCGUUCCCGAAGCUCACGUCAUGCUAUGGCUGCGCCUGCGCUGAGUGUGGCCCCUCCCUGCAGCGGGGCGGAACCGAGUUGCUCAGGGCGCGGUGUCCGCGGGGGGCUGGUUUUGAAAAGGACCGCGCCUCCCGGAAGUGUUGGGGCGGGGUCAAAUGCAGGAGGCGGCGGCGCGGAGCCUGCGGCGGGGCUUGGAGAGGCUGCGGCCGCUCGUGAAGAAUAAGACGCUGCGAUAUGGGGUCCCCAUGAUGCUCCUGAUUAUUGGUGGGUCCUUUGGUCUCCGUGAGUUCACUCAAAUCCGUUAUGAUGCUCAAAAACUCCACAGCAAGAUGGAUCCAGCUUUGGAAGAAAGAAUCAGAAAGAAUAAGAUAACAUUGGAAUCUGAAUAUGAGCUCCAAUUCUUGUAUAGAGUUAAAUGGCUGCCUGGUUCCAUCCCAGAUGUGUCUACAAAGGUGAAGUGAUUGCAGUAUCCUUUUGGAUCCCUCAGAAAGAAAGGAACCCUGAUACCACUAAAUUUGGAACAAAGACUACUGAAAUAUUUUCUUGUUUUCAUUUCCUUAGAUACUGUACAUAUUUGAAACACCCUGUGCUAAACUGAAAAGCUCUGACUUUGAUGACUGGAAGAACGUCAGAGGGCCCCGUCCAUGGGAGGAUUCCAAGUCUCUUCAAGAGCAGCAGCAGCAAGUUCUUCAUUCCAAGCCAUCUUGACUGUGUGCUCUCACUCCAGUAUCUUUAUAGAAUCACUGCUAUGCCAGUGACUGGGCUUUCUUGCUUUCUAAUCCUGUGUCCAGGGAGAGACAUGGGUGGGGAAAAAACAAGUUGACAGGUGGCUUACUUGAGAUCAAUCUGAGAUGAAAUGUUAACUAAAGAUCUUUGUUCAAUUGCAUCCAUUUGCAUGGAAGCCCACAGACUGUGUAUAUUAAUUCUUAAUAAAGAUCAGCCCAUUCUUUCA